UCUCAGAAUUUCUGAUUGGUCCGUCUGUUGUUAACAGGGAAAUAAUGGAUUCAGAGGCAUCAUUGGUGUCCCUGGCUACACAGGGCUGCCGGGAGCAAGGGGUCCUCCUGGUUUUCCAGGAUUAUCAGGAUUUACGGGAGAGAUUGGAUCUGAAGGCUUUGGUGGACGACCAGGUCCACCUGGUAAAAUGGGUCCAUGGGGAUUAAAAGGUGUCCUUGGAGUUAACGGACCUCCGGGUCAUCAAGGUGAACUGGGCCCAAGAGGAGCAGCUGGACCACAGGGCGAGCAUGGUCCUGAUGGAGCAGUCUCUUCUCCCGGUGUCCGUGGCCCUCAGGGCAAUCCAGGACCAGAUGGACCUCCAGGUCCUAAAGGAGACCCUGGCAAUCCAGGAGAUGAAGGGGACAUUGGGGACCCGAACUCCUG